rnacentral:rRNA from 1 species
UGGGGAAUUUUGGACAAUGGGCGAAAGCCUGAUCCAGCAAUGCCGCGUGUGUGAAGAAGGCCUUCGGGUUGUAAAGCACUUUUGUCCGGAAAGAAAUCCUUGGCUCUAAUACAGUCGGGGGAUGACGGUACCGGAAGAAUAAGCACCGGCUAACUACGUGCCAGCAGCCGCGGUAAUACGUAGGGUGCAAGCGUUAAUCGGAAUUACUGGGCGUAAAGCGUGCGCAGGCGGUUUGCUAAGACCGAUGUGAAAUCCCCGGGCUCAACCUGGGAACUGCAUUGGUGACUGGCAGGCUAGAGUAUGGCAGAGGGGGGUUAGAAUUCCACGUGUAGCAGUGAAAUGCGUAGAGAUGUGGAGGAAUACCGAUGGCGAAGGCAGCCCCCUGGGCCAAUACUGACGCUCAUGCACGAAAGCGUGGGGAGCAAAGCAGGAUUAGAUACCCUGGUAGUCCACGCCCUAAACGAUGUCAACUAGUUGUUGGGGAUUCAUUUCCUUAGUAACGUAGCUAACGCGUGAAGUUGACCGCCUGGGGAGUACGGUCGCAAGAUUAAAACUCAAAUGGAAUUGACGGGGUCAUAGCUGUUUCCU